GGCUUUAAUGGGGACCGGGAGCGGAUGGAGCCAGGGAGAGAGGCCGCCCAGCGGGGAGCUAAAAAUACAUUCUGGCUGCGUUUGCUCUGCGGGGCGCCUGCCUGGUCCCAAAGUGUCGCUCUACCGCACUGGAGAGAUGGUUCCAUGGUUAAUAGUGAGCACUCCCAGAGAUCUUGAAUAGCCUCCUGGUCAGUCCUCCAGAAGCAAUUCACGUAAUUGGUGAACUUGGCUUACACACUGGGAGCUGGCGAUUUCCUCACUGGAGUUUCAAGAUCUCUGGCAGAAGUCUCUUUAAGAAAACAGUUUAAACACUGAAAGAUUCCAGCUUACUUCCUGACUGUCAUUUUGAUAGAAUUCUGCCCUUCACUUGGUCUUAAGUAUGGAAUGUUAUGACAGGACAUAGUAAUAAUGGAGGUCAGACAUGGAAAUGGUGUGGAGACAAAAAUAGACAUGUGAGAUAAACUCAGUAUUUCAAUGAAGAAGAAGAAGAAGAAGAAGAAGAAGAAGAAGAGGAAGAGGAAGAGGAAGAGGAAGAGGAAGAGG